GGGGCUGAUUUUUAGCUCGACAGUGGACCUUAACAAUCUACAAUGCAAGCCGGUUUUCACACCGUUACCGUGAAAACUUAACAGAUGCAAAAACAUCGUUAAGCGAUGCAAUCGACCGCGUUUUCGCGUCUCGAAAGCUCGCACCAGCUUACGUUUAAACACGUUAAGCGACUUUUUUGGUUCAUGCCAGAUAAAACCUUGAAAGUCUUAUAUUCAUCUGGUUGCCAGCCGUAGUGCUAUUUGAGCUAUGGCUGUAAGACUAUCAAGUUGCUGAAUGUAGUAUUUUGUUUGUUUAACCACUAUAUUCAAAAGAUUUUAAAACAAGCUAAGCUUGUAGAAUUGUAGUGUCGUUAACCACUGGACGCGGGAGUGUUACCCGCCAGCUCCACCA
rnacentral:tmRNA from 1 species